rnacentral:tRNA from 1 species
UUCCCAGUGGCUCAGUGGUAAAGAAUCUGCCUGCAAUGCAGGAGCCACAGGAGCCUCAGGUUCAAUCCCUGGGUUGGAAA